ACAUUUUAGAUCAUUCCGUUUAGCCCUGUAACAAAAAAAAAAAAAAAGAUCAUCCUAAUUUCCCUUUCACCUAUAUAAUAACCAACACUAAUCUCAUUCCUUUUAUGAUCAUUCUGUAAUAUUUGAUGAUGAAGUUUAUCAUUUACCUCAUUCUCUCUUGACUUUUCCACUAUGUCUACUGUUGAUGUCAAUAACACCAAACCAUGUUUCUACACUUUUCGUCUAUCAUGCUAUCCAACAAUUGUUCUAACUUAUUUCAUGUUUUUUAAUUUCGCAGGCUGGGAGAAGUCAAAAAGAGACGUACACAUACCUUUCUCAAUAAAUCCAAUACUACACCUAAGACCAAUUUCAACAUUAGGAUAGCAUGAAUGUGAGAUACUAUUUAUUUAUUAAGUUAUUUUCAAGCACACCUUGUGCUUGGUUACGAGGUAUAUAUCAAUAUUGAGAAAAACAGUCAUAUACUUAGGAAUUUUGAAUUUGAUGAAUGUAAUCUUAGUUUCUUCAAAAAAUAGAUGUAAUCUUAGUUUUUUGUGGUAAUUGGUGCA
rnacentral:lncRNA from 1 species